rnacentral:rRNA from 1 species
GACGAACGCUGGCGGCGUGCCUAAUACAUGCAAGUUGAGCGCUGAAGGUUGGUACUUGUACCAACUGGAUGAGCAGCGAACGGGUGAGUAACGCGUGGGGAAUCUGCCUUUGAGCGGGGGACAACAUUUGGAAACGAAUGCUAAUACCGCAUAAAAACUUUAAACACAAGUUUUAAGUUUGAAAGAUGCAAUUGCAUCACUCAAAGAUGAUCCCGCGUUGUAUUAGCUAGUUGGUGAGGUAAAGGCUCACCAAGGCGAUGAUACAUAGCCGACCUGAGAGGGUGAUCGGCCACAUUGGGACUGAGACAAGGCCCAAACUCCUACGGGAGGCAGCAGUAGGGAAUCUUCGGCAAUGGACGAAAGUCUGACCGAGCAACGCCGCGUGAGUGAAGAAGGUUUUCGGAUCGUAAAACUCUGUUGGUAGAGAAGAACGUUGGUGAGAGUGGAAAGCUCAUCAAGUGACGGUAACUACCCAGAAAGGGACAGCUAACUACGUG